UGAAGAAACUCCAAGAGGAGGAAGGCCAAUCUGAGAAAAGACCCCAGCCCCCUCAGGGGUCGCGACAGGAGCAGCAGUUGUCACUGCCGCUGAGGCCACCAGGAGCGCCACCAGAGCUGCAGGCGCCCCCCACCCAACCGCAGCCUCCCCGACCGAAGCUCCUGGAGCAGUCACAGACCCCACCCGUGCCACCGCCGCCUCAGCCAAGGCAACAGAAUGCCCAAGACCCUCUGACUCCGUGCACGUCUGUGCACAUUCUGCAGGAUUCCCAAAAGCCAGGUCCCCAGCUUGGCUCAGUAGGGACCCAUCAAGCUGGAGGGCAAUCCGACUUUAACAGAUUCCCAGGAGGAACAAAACUCCCUCAAGGCGCUAGUUUCAGGAACUCAUUCCAGUCAAAUCCAGAUAAAUACACUGAGCACUCACGAUUCACGUCAACGAAUUACACACAGCAGUGGUGACCCAGAGAGAGACCCUCAACCCCACUGGCCAUGAGCAAAAAAACAGAUGACUUCUUUCUCACCCCCAGCAUCUCCACUCCAAGUCACCCCCUCCUGAUCCACUCUAGAAGAGGAGCUAGCCGGGAAUAAAAUGUGAUUUCCUCCUAAAAAGAAUCAAGAGACUGGUCAGCUCUGUGAGACUGGGAUGAAGGGAAAGGGGAAUGAGGACCCAUGAAGGGGAUGGAGCGGGUGGGAGAAGAAAGUAGGUUGCAUCCAUGCUUCUGUAGGCAAAGCCAAUGGGAGAACUUGGUCUUGGCCUUCCC